UUCAAGGGUACUUUCAUAUUUUCACCAAUUAUUCAGCUAAAACUAUCUCAACCAUCUAAUUUCUGGUUUUAACAACUUUAUUAGUUUCUGUUAUCAGUUGUGGUGCUAAUCAAUGUCAAGGCACAGAAAAACACAACACAAAUGAAAAGAAACAAAACAAAAAAAGCGAACUAGGAACUCAUGGCUUAUGUAAAGCAUAACACACUUUUAGACACUCAAGAAAAGUUGCCAGGACCUGAUAAUAUACAUUCAUUCUCUUGCUUCUUUGUUCUCAUCUCCUCAGGUUUCACAUGGUGAGCAGAUAACUGCAACAUGCCAGUUUAAAGAAAACAAAGACCAUUCCAUCCUCUACCAAGCAUGGCGAUGUCUUCAUCUGAGCAGUAAACUCAGUCUGAACCAACCAAAAAAGUGAGGGAAAAGAUCAAAAACCAAAGGAACCACAGCAAAAACUGAAACUUUCCACCAGCCAACAUUUCUACUACUUUGCCCAUAGAGGCAGGCACACCUGACACCAGAUUCAGAAAAAGGAUGGCAAGGACAACCAGGGGAAGGACAAGGAACUGACCACCACCCACAAGGAACUCCUCCUUUGAUGAGCUAUGAAUAAAAACUUACCUUAGUUUUAAUUUAUACUCAAGAAAAGUAAGCUAAAAAAAUUAAGAUUAAAACAAGACUGGACAAAAUAGUGUCUUUUUCUACAGAAGCUAUUUAAUAAAUCAUUACAAAAUUUAAA